AGUAGCUGCUGCAUUUCCCACCCUAUGCUUAUACUCGAGUCAAUACGUUUUCCCAGUUUUUUUGUGGUAAAAUUAUGGGCCUCAGCUUAUAUUUGGGUCGGCUUAUAGUCGAGUAUAUAUGGUAAGUUGGUUCGAUACUGUGAAAGUAUGAACUUCUGCAUUACUAGACCAGUUCGAACUGGAAGCAACAUGGGAUGAAUUUGAUUUGAACCAAUUUUUGUACUGAAAAACCAGGCUGCGACCAGUCCACGGUGGCGACUAUUAUGCUGUGAAAUACAGGAUUUAAAAUUCUUCUUCUCCAGAACUGCUAAUAUUAUAGAGGUACAACUUGUAUGUGGUGACUCCAAUUCAGAUUUGUAUAAGAGAAGAUGAUUGGUCGACUUAUUAGAUUUUAAAUAUCAACACUUGAACCUUUUAUCAAAAUGGUCCUCUACCACAGUUGUUAAUAUGAAGCCACAUUAAAAAGUCACUAUAGUCACCAUCCACCAAUGACCUCACAGUGUCCUAGGAAGGCAUACAAUUGUAUUUAUUUUACGAUUAUACUUGCUACAACUUAUUCAAACUAUUUGUACAUGUGAUGAUGCUCCUGUGGUUGCCAACCUAUGUCACAUGGUCUGGCAGCCAUUUUGUUUUUUU